rnacentral:rRNA from 1 species
AGACGUCUACAUUAGACGUACCCGGGUAGUCCCAGCCGUAAACUAUGCGCGUUAGGUGUAUCGGUGACCACGAGUUACCGAGGUGCCGAAGGGAACCGUGAAACGUGCCGCCGUGGGAAGUACGGUCGCAAGGCUGAAACUUAAAGGAAUUGGCGGGGAGCACCACAACAGGUGGAGCCUGCGGUUUAAUUGGACUCAACGCCGGGAAGCUCACCGGAUAGGACAGCAGAAUGAUUGCCGGGCUGAAGACCCUGCAUGACUAGCUG